rnacentral:rRNA from 1 species
UACGGGGGGGGGCAAGCGUUGUUCGGAAUUACUGGGCGUAAAGGGCGCGUAGGCGGCCGCCUAAGUCAGACGUGAAAUCCCUCGGCUCAACCGGGGAACUGCGUCUGAUACUGGGUGGCUUGAAUUCGGGAGAGGGAUGCGGAAUUCCUGGUGUAGCGGUGAAAUGCGCAGAUAUCAGGAGGAACACCGGUGGCGAAGGCGGAUCUCUGGGCCUUACCUGACGCUGAGGCGCGAAAGCUAGGGGAGCAAACAGG